rnacentral:rRNA from 1 species
UACGAAGGGGGCUAGCGUUGCUCGGAAUUACUGGGCGUAAAGGGCGCGUAGGCGGCACUGUUAGUCAGGCGUGAAAGUCCUGGGCUCAACCUGGGAACUGCGCUUGAUACGGCAGAGCUAGAGGAUGGAAGAGGCUCGCGGAAUUCCCAGUGUAGAGGUGAAAUGCGCAGAUAUCGGGAGGAACACCAGUGGCGAAGGCGGAACUCUGGGCCGGAACUGACGCUGAGGAGCGAAAGCGUGGGGAGCGAACAGG